GGAGAUGACGGAGUUAAGUGAUAGAUUGCAGUCUUUGAAUUCUGUCCUGCAUAUCAUAGAGGAGGUUAGUGGGUUUUCCAUGGAUAUCCCUGAGAUACCGGAUCCCUUGCUGAAACCAUGGCAGCUUCCCUGCCCAUCUCUGCCAAUCACGGCCUCUUCAAGCAUGUUUCAGUUUUGAUUUAUCUAUGCCUCAUCAGAAGCAUAGUAGAACUUCAGCUCUUAUACAGUAUGUCUUUGUUUCUGUCUUUAUUAACAAACCUGUUCAUUAUUUUGGAAUAAUCUGUUCAUUAUUGUGAUCUGUUCAACAAUUGAUUAUUAAGGUUCUAACAAAUUUUCAACAAUAAUGAACACAUCUUAUUGUUCAUUAUUAACAACCAAUCAAUUUAUUGAUAACCCAAAACCGUGAAGGAUUUACAGCAAUUGUUCAUACUGUUCUCUAACAAAUUUUCAACAAUAAUGAACACAUCUUAUUGUUCAUUAUUAACAACCAAUCAAUUUACAGCAAUUGAUAACCCAAAACCGUGAAGGAUUUACAGCAAUUGUUCAUAAUAUUGUUCAAAAUUAAUUAAGGUUUAAGAAGAGAGAAAUUAAUUACCUUUUGAGCGAGAGGAGGAUGAUGAUCAAGAAGACAGUGAGGUGUGGUUGUGAUGAAGACGAUGAUCAAAGGUUAAACCCACAAUUUCAAAUUAAGAAAUUGCAAAGCUUUAAGCAAUUGAUUGAUUGGUUAUAAAUUGGUUUUGAAAUUGGGAAAUUCAAAAAAAUAAAGCAGAUGAUGAAGAUGAUUGAAGACUCGACGAUUAAAAGUAGAUGAAGAUGAUUGAAGACUCGAUGAUAGAAGUAGAUGAAGAAGAAGGUUGACUCGG
rnacentral:lncRNA from 1 species